CCUACGGGUGGCAGCAGUGGGGGAUAUUGCACAAUGGGGGCAACCCUGAUGCAGCGACGCCGCGUGAGCGAUGGAGUACUUCGGUAUGUAAAGCUCUUUCAGCAGGGAAGAGAAUGACGGUACCUGACCAAGAAGCCCCGGCUAAAUACGUGCCAGCAGCCGCGGUAAUACGUAUGGGGCAAGCGUUAUCCGGAUUUACUGGGUGUAAAGGGAGCGUAGGCUGCAGGGCAAGCCUGAUGUGAAAGCCCGGGGCUCAACCCCGGGACUGGAUUGGGAACUGCCACGCUCGAGUGCCGGAGGGGCAGGCGGAAUUCCUAGGGUAACGGUGAAAUGCGUAGAUAUUAGG
rnacentral:rRNA from 1 species